rnacentral:rRNA from 1 species
ACGGGGGGAGCAAGCGUUGUUCGGAAUCACUGGGCGUAAAGCGCGUGUAGGCGGUCAGGUAAGUGGGAUGUGAAAUACUCCGGCUCACCCGGAGAACUGCAUCCCAAACUGCCUGGCUUGAGUAUGGGAGAGGAUGAGGGAAUUCCUGGUGUAGCGGUGAAAUGCGUAGAUAUCAGGAGGAACACCGGUGGCGAAGGCGGCAUCCUGGACCGGUAUUGACGCUGAGGCGCGAAAGCCAGGGGAGCAAACGGGA